GGCUAGUUGGAGUGUGGUGGUUACAGAUUCCUUUGUUCUUUCACAAUCAGUUAUGGAUUCCUUUGUUCUUUCUCCACUACUUCACUUGACCAGCCUAAA
rnacentral:Y_RNA from 1 species